rnacentral:rRNA from 3 species
GGACUACUGGGGUAUCUAAUCCCGUUUGCUCCCCUGGCUUUCGCGCCUCAGCGUCAGAAGAGGUCCAGCACGCCGCUUUCGCCACCGGCGUUCCUUCCGAUAUCUACGCAUUUCACCGCUCCACCGGAAGUUCCGCAUGCCCCUACCUCCCUCAAGACCACCAGUAUCCCAGGCAAUUUUCCGGUUGAGCCGAAAGAUUUCACCCCGGACUUGGUGACCCGCCUACGCGCCCUUUAAGCCCAGUGAAUCCGAACAACGUUCGCACGGUUCGUCUUACCGCGGCUGCUGGCAC